UGUAACUUGCUAUUUUUUCCUCUUUGAGCUAAGCUCAUAGUUCAAAGAAAUUUUAUUUUUUUUAAAUACUACUUAUGACAUCUCAAAUAUAUUGCUACUGAACGCUCAAAAUAUUGUAAACAUAAAGUCUAAGAAACUCUUAAAUGCAACAUGGUAGGUCCCACACAUCUAUUCAGGGGAUGAUGGAGCGGUGAGAAAGGUCCCACACGUGUAUUCAGGGCUGAUGGAGCGGUGAGAAAGGUCCCACACAUCUAUUCAGGGGAUGAUGGAGCGGUGAGAAAGGUCCCACACGUGUAUUCAGGGCUGAUGGAGCGGUGAGAAAGGUCCCACACGUGUAUUCAGGGCUGAUGGAGCGGUGAGAAAGGUCCCACACAUCUAUUCAGGGGAUGAUGGAGCGGUGAGAAAGGUCCCACACGUGUAUUCAGGGCUGAUGGAGCGGUGAGAAAGGUCCCACACAUCUAUUCAGGGGAUGAUGGAGUGGUGAGAAAGGUCCCACACAUCUAUUCAGGGGAUGAUGGAGUGGUGAGAAAGGUCCCACACGUGUAUUCAGGGCUGAUGGAGCAGUGAGAAAGGUCCCACACGUGUAUUCAGGGCUGAUGGAGUGGUGAGAAAGGUCCCACACGUG